UGGGGCAUGGCCAAGAGGUAAGGAAAUAGGUUUUGAUCCUAUUAUUCGGAGGUUUGAAUCCUUUCAUCCCAU
rnacentral:tRNA from 1 species